rnacentral:ncRNA from 1 species
GGGUCUGGUUUUUCCAGAGGCAAAUUAGUGGUCGGGCCGCCAUUA